CCUACGGGAGGCAGCAGUGAGGAAUAUUGGUCAAUGGCCGGAAGGCUGAACCAGCCAAGCCGUGUGAAGGACGAAGGUGCCAUGCAUUGUAAACUUCUUUUGUCAAGGGACAAAAUCAUGCUCGAGAGCCUGACCGCGGGUACUUCAAGAAAAAGCAUCGGCUAACUCCGUGCCAGCAGCCGCGGUAAUACGGAGGAUGCGGGCGUUAUCCGGAUUUAUUGGGUUUAAAGGGUGCGUAGGCGGGCUGUUAAGUCAGCGGUAAAAUCGCGGGGCUCAACCUCGGCGGGCCGGUGAAACUGGAUGUCUUGAGUGGUCGAGAGGUAUGCGGAAUGCGUAGUGUAGCGGUGAAAUGCUUAGAUAUUGCGCAGAACUCCGAGUGCGAAGGCAGCAUGCCGGAGGCGAUCUGACGCUGAGGCACGAAAGCGUGGGUAUCGAACAGGAUUAGAUACCCGUGUAGUC
rnacentral:rRNA from 1 species